rnacentral:rRNA from 1 species
AGGGUUUGAUCCUGGCUCAGGAUGAACGCUAGCUACAGGCUUAACACAUGCAAGUCGCGGGGCAGCAUGAAUUUAGCUUGCUAAAUUUGAUGGCGACCGGCGCACGGGUGAGUAACGCGUAUCCAACCUUCCCCUGUCCACGGGAUAGCCCGUCGAAAGGCGGAUUAAUACCGUAUGAGGUCACACGAUGGCAUCAGACUGUGACGAAAGGUUUAGCGGACAGGGAUGGGGAUGCGUCCGAUUAGCUUGACGGCGGGGUGACGGCCCACCGUGGCGACGAUCGGUAGGGGUUCUGAGAGGAAGGUCCCCCACAUUGGAACUGAGACACGGUCCAAACUCCUACGGGAGGCAGCAGUGAGGAAUAUUGGUCAAUGGACGUAAGUCUGAACCAGCCAAGUAGCGUGCAGGAUGACGGCCCUAUGGGUUGUAAACUGCUUUUAUGCGGGGAUAACGUGCACCACGCGUGGUGUAUUGCAGGUACCGCAUGAAUAAGGACCGGCUAAUUCCGUGCCAGCAGCCGCGGUAAUACGGAAGGUCCGGGCGUUAUCCGGAUUUAUUGGGUUUAAAGGGAGCGUAGGCCGCUGUUUAAGCGUGUUGUGAAAAACCGGGGCUCAACUCCGGUCGUGCAGCGCGAACUGGACGGCUUGAGUGCGCGGUAAGUGGGCGGAAUUUGUGGUGUAGCGGUGAAAUGCUUAGAUAUCACGAAGAACUCCGAUUGCGAAGGCAGCUCACUGUAGCGCAACUGACGCUGAAGCUCGAAAGUGCGGGUAUCGAACAGGAUUAGAUACCCUGGUAGUCCGCACGGUAAACGAUGGAUGCCCGCUGUUCCGACUAUUAGUUGGAGUGGCCAAGCGAAAGCGUUAAGCAUCCCACCUGGGGAGUACGCCGGCAACGGUGAAACUCAAAGGAAUUGACGGGGGCCCGCACAAGCGGAGGAACAUGUGGUUUAAUUCGAUGAUACGCGAGGAACCUUACCCGGGCUUGAACUGCAGGAGAACGAUUCAGAGAUGAUGAGGCCCUUCGGGGCUCCUGUGGAGGUGCUGCAUGGUUGUCGUCAGCUCGUGCCGUGAGGUGUCGGCUUAAGUGCCAUAACGAGCGCAACCCCUCUCCGUAGUUGCCAUCAGGUGAAGCUGGGCACUCUGCGGACACUGCCACCGCAAGGUGUGAGGAAGGUGGGGAUGCGUCAAAUCAGCACGGCCCUUACGUCCGGGGCUACACACGUGUUACAAUGGGUGGUACAGAGUGCAGUUCACAUGCAAAUGUGUUCGAAUCAUUAAAUCCAUCCUCAGUUCGGACUGGGGUCUGCAACCCGACCCCACGAAGCUGGAUUCGCUAGUAAUCGCGCAUCAGCCAUGGCGCGGUGAAUACGUUCCCGGGCCUUGUACACACCGCCCGUCAAGCCAUGAAAGCCGGGGGCGCCUGAAGUCCGUGACC